rnacentral:rRNA from 1 species
AUUGAACGCUGGCGGCAUGCCUUACACAUGCAUGUCGAGCGGGGGAAGGUAGCUUGCUACCGGACCUAGCGGCGGACGGGUGAGUAAUGCUUAGGAAUCUGCCUAUUAGUGGGGGACAACAUCUCGAAAGGGAUGCUAAUACCGCAUACGUCCUACGGGAGAAAGCAGGGGAUCUUCGGACCUUGCGCUAAUAGAUGAGCCUAAGUCGGAUUAGCUAGUUGGUGGGGUAAAGGCCUACCAAGGCGACGAUCUGUAGCGGGUCUGAGAGGAUGAUGCGCCAAACUGGGACUGAGACACAGCCCAGACUCCUACGGGAGGCAGCAGUGGGGAAUAUUGGACAAUGGGGGGAACCCUGAUCCAGCCAUGCCGCGUGUGUGAAGAAGGCCUUAUGGUUGUAAAGCACUUUAAGCGAGGAGGAGGCUACUUUAGUUAAUACCUAGAGAUAGUGGACGUUACUCGCAGAAUAAGCACCGGCUAACUCUGUGCCAGCCGCCGCAGUAA